rnacentral:misc_RNA from 1 species
AGCAGCCGCGGUAAUUCCAGCUCCAAUAGCGUAUAUUAAAGUUGUUGCAGUUAAAAAGCUCGUAGUUGAAUUUCGGAGUUCUACCGUCGGUCGGGCUACCAAGUCUGUACUGGUGUGUAGAAUUCCUACCUUCUGGGGAACUAUCAUGUUAUUAAUUUAGCGUGGUGGGAAACCAGGACCUUUACCUUGAAAAAUUAGAGUGUUCAAAGCAGGCUUAUGUCUGAAUACAUUAGCAUGGAAUAAUAGAAUAGGACGGUGGUCCUGUUUUGUUGGUUUCUGAAUCACCGUAAUGAUUAAUAGGGAUAGUUGGGGGCAUUAGUAUUCAAUUGUCAGAGGUGAAAUUCUUGGAUUUAUUGAAGACUAACUUCUGCGAAAGCAUUUGCCAAGGAUGUUUUCAUUAAUCAAGAACGAAAGUUAGGGGAUCGAAGACGAUCAGAUACCGUCGUAGUCUUAACCAUAAACUAUGCCGACUAGGGAUCGGACGAUGUUAAAUUUUAUUGACUCGUUCGGCGUCCUUACG